rnacentral:misc_RNA from 1 species
UGUUCGAGCGUCAUUACAACCCUCAAGCUCUGCUUGGCCUUGGGUGCCACCGUCCCGGUGCGCCUUAAAAUCAGUGGCGGUGCGUCCGGCUCCAAGCGUAGUAAUUCUUCUCGCUCUGGAGGACCGGGCGCGUGCUGGCCAGCAACCCCAACUCAUCAAAGGUUGACCUCGGAUCAGGUAGGGAUACCCGCUGAACUUAA